GAAACUUUAGUUUGUGCCUACGAGACAUCAAGUUUGCCCAAUAUUGUACGCACCCAGGCUACAGAGGCUGGAUUAAAGUGGUUUGAGCUUGAGUGCACAUCUUCAGACAAGGAAUGCGAAGGCAAACCUAAGAUCAAUUAUGUCACAGUUUUUGAGCGUCCUGGAUUGCAUGAGUUUCUAAAAGAACUCAGUGAAUUUGCCAAUCUUGUCUUGUUUACUGCUGGGCUUGAAGGUUAUGCAAGACCUCUUGUUGACAAAAUUGAUGUUGGAAAUAGGUUUAGCUUGAGACUUUAUCGGCCUUCAACAAUUAGC
rnacentral:misc_RNA from 1 species